rnacentral:rRNA from 1 species
AACAAACGCUGGCGGCGUGCCUAACACAUGCAAGUCGUACGAGAAAGUUCGCUUCGGCGGAUGAGUAGAGUGGCGCACGGGUGAGUAACACGUGGAUAAUCUACCCUUCAGUUGGGAAUAACUCAUCGAAAGGUGGGCUAAUACCGAAUAAUGCUGCGCAACGCAGGUUGUGUAGCCAAAGAUGGCCUCUGCUUGCAAGCUGUCGCUGAAGGAUGAGUCCGCGCACCAUUAGCUGGUUGGUAGGGUAAUAGCCUACCAAGGCGACGAUGGUUAGCUGGUCUGAGAGGAUGAUCAGCCACACUGGAACUGAGACACGGUCCAGACUCCUACGGGAGGCAGCAGUGAGGAAUCUUGCGCAAUGGGGGCAACCCUGACGCAGCAACGCCGCGUGAGUGAGGAAGGUCUUCGGAUCGUAAAGCUCUGUCAGGUGGGAAGAAACGCAAGGAGGCCAAUACCCUCUUUGUUUGACGGUACCACCAGAGGAAGCACCGGCCAACUCCGUGCCAGCCGCCGCGGUAAAAC